AGCGAACGCUGGCGGCAGGCCUAACACAUGCAAGUCGAACGAAGUCUUCGGACUUAGUGGCGGACGGGUGAGUAACACGUGGGAACGUGCCUUUAGGUUCGGAAUAACUCAGGGAAACUUGUGCUAAUACCGAAUGUGCCCUUCGGGGGAAAGAUUUAUCGCCUUUAGAGCGGCCCGCGUCUGAUUAGCUAGUUGGUGAGGUAAAGGCUCACCAAGGCUACGAUCAGUAGCUGGUCUGAGAGGAUGACCAGCCACAUUGGGACUGAGACACGGCCCAAACUCCUACGGGAGGCAGCAGUGGGGAAUCUUGCGCAAUGGGCGAAAGCCUGACGCAGCCAUGCCGCGUGGAUGAUGAAGGUCUUAGGAUUGUAAAAUCCUUUCACCGGUGAAGAUAAUGACUGUAGCCGGAGAAGAAGCCCCGGCUAACUUCGUGCCAGCAGCCGCGGUAA
rnacentral:rRNA from 1 species